rnacentral:rRNA from 1 species
CACGGGGGUUGCGAGCGUUGUCCGGAAUUACUAGGCGUAAAGGGCAGGCAGGCGGAUCCAUAAGUUUAUCGUUUAAGGCGUCGGCUUAACCGGCGUAGGGCGGUAGAUACUGUGGAUCUGGAAUGCGGUUGGGGAAGACAGAAUUCCAUGUGUAGCGGUGAAAUGCGUAGAUAUAUGGAGGAACACCAGUGGCGAAGGCGACUUUCUGGUCUAUUAUUGACGCUGAGGCUCGAAAGCAUGGGUAGCAAACAGGAUUAGAUACCCGCGUAGUCCCU